rnacentral:rRNA from 1 species
GACGAACGCUGGCGGCGUGCUUAACACAUGCAAGUCGAACGGAAAGGCCCUGCUUUUGUGGGGUUCUCGAGUGGCGAACGGGUGAGUAACACGUGAGUAACCUGCCCUUGACUUUGGGAUAACUUCAGGAAGCUGGGGCUAAUACCGGAUAGGAGCUCCUGCUGCAUGGUGGGGGUUGGAAAGUUUCGGCGGUUGGGGAUGGACUCGCGGCUUAUCAGCUUGUUUGUGGGGUAGUGGCUUACCAAGGCUUUGACGGGUAGCCGGCCUGAGAGGGUGACCGGCCACAUUGGGACUGAGAUACGGCGCAGACUCCUACGGGAGGCAGCAGUGGGGAAUAUUGCACAAUGGGCGGAAGCCUGAUGCAGCAACGCCGCGUGCGGGAUGACGGCCUUCGGGUUGUAAACCGCUUUCGCCUGUGACGAAGCGUGAGUGACGGUAAUGGGUAAAGAAGCACCGGCUAACUACGUG